GGAGUGUAGUCUACACCAGAUGGGGUCGAAGUGACUGUCCUGCCCACAGUAGAAUGAUCUACAGUGGAUUUGCUUCAGGUUCAUAUUAUUCUCACAGUGGCAGUGGCGCUAAUGUUUUGUGCAUGAAUGCCUCUAUUACAUAUGGUGAUCAUCUUGAUGGUAAUCAAGAGGGAGCUAGACUUUACGGUAUUGAAUAUUCAACAAGUGGGUAUGGACUCAGAGGCCACUUUCAAAGUCUGGACAAUUACGAAGUACCAUGUGUUGUUUGUGAGCGACUAACGGCAG